rnacentral:rRNA from 1 species
AAUGCGGAGGAAAAGAAAAUAACAUAUGAUUCCCUCAGUAACGGCGAGUGAACAGGGAAAAGCUCACAGUUGGAACCUAGCUGCCUUAGGUAGUUCGGAUUGUAAACUGAAAAAGUGUUAUCCAGGCUAGCCGAGUAAAUAAGUUUCUUGGAAUAGAACAUCAUGGAGGGUGAGAAUCCCGUCUUUGGCUUGAGCAUAGUCUUUUGUGUUGCACUUUAACGAGUCAGGUUGUUUGGGAAUGCAGCCUAAAGUGGGAGGUAAAUCCCUCCUAAAGCUAAAUAUUGGCGAGAGACCGAUAGCAAACAAGUACCGUGAGGGAAAGAUGAAAAGAACUUUGAAAAGAGAGUUAAACAGUAUGUGAAAUUGCUAAAAGGGAAGCGUUUGAAGACAGACUAGCUUGGUUAUAAUCAGCCUGGAUUUUUCUUGGUGUACUUGUAGCCUAUGCUUGCCAACAGCAGUUUGGUCUGGCUGAAAAAACUAGUAGUAAGGUGGCUCUCUUCGGGGAGUGUUAUAGACUAUUAGAAAAUCAGUUGGACUGGACUGAGGAAUGCAAUGCAGCUUGCCUUGGGGUGAACCAGAUUGGAUAGGAACCAUUGUUCCUUGAAGGUUUGGGUAGCUCUUCGAACUGUAUUUAGGUUGUUGGCUUAAUCGGUCGUUUAAACGGCCCGUCUGA